CAGCAGCCGCGGUAAUACGGAGGGGGCUAGCGUUGUUCGGAAUUACUGGGCGUAAAGCGCACGUAGGCGGCUUGGUAAGUUAGAGGUGAAAGCCCGGAGCUCAACUCCGGAAUUGCCUUUAAGACUGCCGAGCUAGUAGGUGAGAGAGGUAAGUGGAAUUCCGAGCGUAGAGGUGAAAUUCGUAGAUAUUCGGAAGAACACCAGUGGCGAAGGCGGCUUACUGGCUCAUUCUAGACGCUGAGGUGCGAAAGCGUGGGGAGCAAACAGGAUUAGAUACCCCUGUAGUCCCUGUCUCUUAUAC
rnacentral:rRNA from 1 species